GACGAACGCUGGCGGCGUGCUUAACACAUGCAAGUCGAACGAUGAUGCCCAGCUUGCUGGGUGGAUUAGUGGCGAACGGGUGAGUAACACGUGAGUAACCUGCCCCUGACUCUGGGAUAAGCGUUGGAAACGACGUCUAAUACUGGAUAUGACUGCCGGCCGCAUGGUCUGGUGGUGGAAAGAUUUUUUGGUUGGGGAUGGACUCGCGGCCUAUCAGCUUGUUGGUGAGGUAAUGGCUCACCAAGGCGACGACGGGUAGCCGGCCUGAGAGGGUGACGGGCCACGCUGGGACUGAGACACGGCCCAGACUCCUACGGGAGGCAGCAGUGGGGAAUAUUGCACAACGGGCGAAAGCCUGAUGCAGCAACGCCGCGUGAGGGAUGACGGCCUUCGGGUUGUAAACCUCUUUUAGUAGGGAAGAAGCGAAAGUGACGGUACCUGCAGAAAAAGCACCGGCUAACUACGUGCCAGCCGCCGCCGUAA
rnacentral:rRNA from 1 species